GACGAACGCUGGCGGCGUGCUUAACACAUGCAAGUCGAACGGAAAGACCCUGCGUUUGUGGGGUGCUCGAGUGGCGAGCGGGGGAGUGACACGUGAGUAUCCUGCCCUUGACUGUGGGAUAACUUCACGAAACUGGGGCUAAUACCGGAGAGGAGCUCCUGCUGCAUGGUGGGGGAUGGAAAGUGUCGGCGGUUGGGGAUGGACUCGCGGGUUAUGAGCUUGUUGGGGGGGUAGUGGCUUACCAGGGCUUUGACGGGUAGCCGGCCUGAGAGGGUGACCGGGCACCUUGGGACUGAGAUACGGCCCAGACGCCUACGGGAGGCAGCAGUGGGGAAUAUGGCACAAUGGGCGGAAGCCUGAUGCAGCAACGCCGCGUGCGGGAUGCUGGCCUUCGGGUUGUAAACCGCUUUCGCCUGUGACGAAGCGUGAGUGACGGUACUGGGUAAAGAAGCAACGGCUAACUACGUG
rnacentral:rRNA from 1 species